UAGAGUCACAAGAUGAAAGGUGUAUCUUUAUUGGAUACGUAAAAGGUGUGAAGGGUAUAAGUUAUGAAGGUUAGAGUUUGAGGGGCUAGGUGCUCUGUUAGCAUAUACAUCACAUUUGUUUGAAAUCAAAUGGCUAUAGUGUACAAAGAUCUAGAGAAAGGGAUGGAGAAAGUCCAUGUUCAGGUGAAACAAUCUACUGAAGGAUUAGAC
rnacentral:lncRNA from 1 species